GCUCAGAAACUUAAAGGAAGUUCGACGGGGCCCGGCACAAGCGGUGGAGCAUAGUGGUUUAAUUCGAUGCAACGCGAAGAACCUUACCUACUCUUGACAUCCACGGAACUUGGCAGAGAUGCCUUGGUGCCUUCGGGAACCGUGAGACAGGUGCUGCAUGGCUGUCGUCAGCUCGUGUUGUGAAAUGUUGGGUUAAGUCCCGCAACGAGCGCAACCCUUAUCCUUUGUUGCCAGCGGUUAGGCCGGGAACUCAAAGGAGACUGCCAGUGAUAAACUGGAGGAAGGUGGGGAUGACGUCAAGUCAUCAUGGCCCUUACGAGUAGGGCUACACACGUGCUACAAUGGCAUAUACAAAGAGAAGCGACCUCGCGAGAGCAAGCGGACCUCAUAAAGUAUGUCGUAGUCCGGAUUGGAGUCUGCAACUCGACUCCAUGAAGUCGGAAUCGCUAGUAAUCGUGGAUCAGAAUGCCACGGUGAAUACGUUCCCGGGCCUU
rnacentral:rRNA from 1 species